CCUUACAUGUGAUUUUCUAGUUUAUUAAAUGUGAAAACUUAUAAUAGAUAUUAAGCAUUCAACUUUUUAUUGACACGUUGUGAAAGUAGAAGAAACAUAGAAGACUUGUGGAUAUGUUUGUGACCAUAAAGCUUUAAUUUAAAAUGCAUUUUUUGGCAUAAUUAUAGAAGUCUUCCGGUAUUGAUUUGAUCCAUAAUACCACCCUAUCAUCAUUUUUUGAGCUAUGUAUCUCCUCCAUGCUACACCUUUGCCUCUCCUUUUUUUCUAUUCUCUAUGGAUGUUAUCACUUUUUUUAUUAUUUCAAUUAAAUAUUUUGUGAUACCUUUAAUUCUCUGGUAUCAUCCUUCUCGGCAACAAAGACAGAGAGUCGUCAAACUGAUUGGAAGAAAUUUUGGCACCUACUAAAAUGAAAUCAAAUUCCUAGACAAAUUACUUAUUUAUAAACCAUGAUUUAUGAUUGAAAUAAUCAUGCAGCCAGAAAAGAAAAAACAACACCUGAUAAUACACCAACCGCUGGAAUGCAUUUAAUAUCUUGCCUGUAAAGAGCAAAUGACGUUUCGAAAUCAAUUUGACUCAUUUAAAUAAAUUCAGUUAAAAAGUCAUAUGGACAACUGCUAGAAAACUCUAUCAAGAAAACAGAGCAACAAAUACUAUACUUAAGGAAAAAUGUCAUUUGAGGAAUUUAAAUGGAUGUUGUAUAAUAAAGUAUACACUCAAAUAACCUAUGCAAUUUGAAAUAUAUUUCAGAAAGUAGAAGUGCCUUUUUAAAAUAUUUCUUGCACCAACUUUAUUAUUAUCCUGAUAAUGGGCUCUUUGUUCCAGUUAUCAGGGUUAGCAAUAGCCUCUUUCUAAUAUUUGAAAUACAAUUACAGCCUAUAUUCCAAUCACAGGUCAUCGUUUUGACACAUAUUCAUAAUAUAUGCACGAUGCAGACAUGAAAGGCCUCUCUACAAUAGGGCAGGAGGUCAAACAAUGGAUUGGUGAUGGAGGUUGUACCACUGUUCUCCGAGGUCUCUGAAACGCAUUAAGAGCAACCCAAUUUGGAGAUUUUGAUUGGGAUAUGAGAACACUCUUCAAUAAAUUCAAGACAUUGUUGUUGGAACUAUUGCAGAAAAUUAAUAUACAGAUAAAAUGGAAACAAUAUAUUAGAAUAUAAUUUUGAUUUGAAGAUAAGGAAUAAGAUAAGAUAUUCUAUCGAUUCAAAGAGUAAAAACACAUCAUCAGAUUCGUCUUAAAAUUUUCUUUUUAAGUAAAGUCUUUUUGAUGUGGAAAAUCAUUCCUUUCGUUCAAGUAUUUGCGUUUUGAUGAACACAUAAUCAAAGAUGAAGAAUAUUAAUAAUUAUUAUACCAGGGAGCUUCGUAUGCCAAUUCAUAUGGCCAUCUACCAGCACACUGCCACAAGAACAAAAUUAAUUACAGAUAACAGAAAGUAGAAAUCCAAAAGCAACAAGUUCAAAUCCAAGAAGAAGUAAACGACUUGAAUCAAAACAAGAACAAUUUACCAAUGUUUCUUAACAAAUGAGGUCCACAUAGUUACGAGCCGCUUCUGAUCCUCAGAAAGACCAAGAAGCUCAAGUUUCUGCAGAGAGGAACUAUCUCCUCCUCAAUGUCACGAGUCCAAAGGGGCACUCCAUUUGAACAAUAGUGAUGGGAUUAACAUGUCCUCUCCUAAUAGUAUACAUCCAAUUAAAACUAACCCAAUUCUAACCAAUUCAUAAUUACCUGGUGCAGAGGGUGAUUGGACCUCGAACUGAUUCGAACAAACCAACCUAGGGUUUCUGAAAUUGCAAUUUUUAAACUUUAAAGAAUAAAGAGCAAAGUUGGGUCAAUAUAACUACAAACACAAACCGACAUUAAUCAAAACUCACUCCAACCUUCGAUUUCUCACCGCAUUCAGAAGUCAACGACCAAAUCCAAUCUCCUUCGACACACAGCGCGAUACGAGCGAUAGAGAACAAAGAGUGACUCUAGUGUGAGUAAGAGAGACCACGACGAAGACGACGCCAAUGCUUCAAGGACUUUUCGAGAAGGUGUAGAAUCGAAACCAGUGGUGGUGAGCGCAACUUUGGAUUGUGUGAGAAGAUAAACCCUAAAUCAGAACAAAUUUGGUAUCGCUGCCGUUUUCUUCUAUGGUGCUUUUCGCGUCUUGGAGGAUCUGUUCCUCAAAAAAGUAGAACGCCUCUCAGACCAUCGGAUUCCUCUCCUUCCUUCGCAUCCCUCGCCACUGCCAUUCCAACCGUCUGCACAUGAGUCCAAGCAAGGAAUCGUUGGAUUUAAUGGUCUCCCAAUCUCUAAGAGAAGCGCGCGAGGGAGGGUGGGGUUCCAAGGGAAAAGAUAGGGUUGGGGAAAAUGAUUAUGUGCGAGAAAAUAGGGUUUGGAGAAAAAU
rnacentral:sRNA from 1 species